ACCAGUUCAUGUAGGAACUUUCUGUAGGAGCUUUUAGAGGGGGACGUCUGGUUCCCAUCACCACCACUGGGAACGGUUCUGAUGUUUCUCAUUUCACACCAAACCGCUCUGUUUACAUCUUAAACGUUUAAUUAUGCCGGAGUUUUGUAAACUGGGUGGAGCUAAACUGGCUGCAGCAGUAGUUCUUCCUCCCUCCGUUCGGACCGUGUCUUCAUGUGUCCCGUUUCUUCUGUAUGUCGGCGCCUCUCGGAGCCGAGCUGAGCCGCUGUAUCAGUGGGAACGAGUGUGAGUGUGUGUGUGUGUGUGUGUGUUUGUUUUUGAUUGAUGUGUUGAGGAGGUUCUCUUGCAGUUCCACCUGGGGUUCGGUGGAGGUCGGGUCUGGUUUUGCACAGAUGUACAGAAAUAUGAGAGAUGUAAUUUAUUUGUUGGGGGUUUGUAAAUGUACAGGUAUUUUAUAUGACGUCUGUUUUUCAUGCUCCUGACGCAGCUGCACUAGUUUUACUCAUCCAGUCGAUGUUGUACGGGAGGAGGACGUGGAGGACGUGGAGGACAGAUGGAUGGUGAGAACCAGUUUAGAGUUUCAGCUUCUAUUCCAAACACUCGGCGUCUCAGAGACCGGAUUGAAUUCAUCACAGACUUCAGCAGUUUGAAUCAGGCGGGCUUUAUAUUGAAUCUGGACCCAGUAGAAUUCAGGUUGAAUUUGAAUUCCGCAGAUAUUUUGAAUUGAAUGGGAUUUGUGUGGAAUUUGAAUUUAGCCAAAGUUAAUUUGAAUUGGAAUUUUAGUUGAAGUUUCAAAUCGACAGCAAUUUUAAAUCCAGUAUAGUUUAAGAUGAAUUUGAAUUCAGCAGAAAUAAAGUUAAAUUAGAAUUUAGCAGAAUUGAAAUAGAACUUGCGUUUGUCAGAAUUGAAGUUUAAUUUAAAUGCAGCAGAGUUGAAGGUGAAACUGAAUUCAGCAGAGUUGAAGGUGAAACUGAAUUCAGCAGAAAUCCUGUUAAAUUUGAUUGCAGUAUAAUUUAAAUAGAAUUUGAAUUCAGCAUAAUUGGAGUUUGUAGUCAGAGGAAUUUAAGCCAAAAUGACACUGAAUUUGAGUUCAGCAGCUGAACUUUAAGGUGAAGUUGAACACGUCAGAUCAAAGUUGAGGUGGAUUGAGCUGAAUCGGCGUCCUCUCUGCUCUGAGCUCCUUCAGAUCUUUAAUCCAGCUCUGACCGGCCUGAUGGGCGUCUCCUCUGGUCUAGGCUGUGUGCGGAGUUCGAGAUCCGGGCCCGGCUGGUUCUGUGAAGGUUCUGUCUGUGAUCUGGACGUUGUCGAGAGCCGAUCUGCUGGUUCCUCUCGUCUGUCUGUACAUCAGCUUUAUGUUUCCUCAGUGUGAUUCAUGUUUCUGACAUCACUAAUAAAAAGAUAUGAACAUGA